UGAGUUUGAUCAUGCGGCUCGAUUUCGAACGCUGGCGCAGGCUCCAACACACGCAAGUCGAACGGUAACAGGAAGAAGCUUCUGCUUCUUUGCUGGGACGAGUGGCGGACGGGUGAGUAAUGUCUGGGAAACUGCCUGAUGGAGGGGGAUAACUACUGGAAACGGUAGCUAAUACCGCAUAACGUCGCAAGACCAAAAGAGGGGGGACCUUCGGCCUUCUUGGUUACCUGGAUGCCCAGAUGGAUUAGCUAGUAGGUGGGUAACGGUUCACCUAGGCGACGAUCCCUAGCUGGUCUGAGAGGGAUGACCAGCCACACUGGAACUGAGACACGGUCCAGACUCCUACGGGAGGCAGCAGUGGGGAAUAUUACACAAUGGGCGCAAGCCUGAUGCAGCCAUGCUGCGUGUAUGAAGAAGCGCCUGGUUGUAAAGUACCUUCAGCGGGAGGAAGGGAGUAAAGUUAUCACCUCUUUGCUCAUUGACGUUACCCGCAGAAGAAGCACCUACUAAACCUCGCGCCAGCAGCCGCGGUAAUACGGAGGGUGCAAGCGUUAAUCGGAAUUACUGGGCGUAAAAGCGCACGCAGGCGGUUUGUUAAGUCAGAUGUGAAAUCCCCCGGGUUCAACCCUGAACUACCUGAUACUGGUGCUCUUGAGCCCUGUAGAGGGGGUAGGACCCGUGUAGCGGUGAAAUGCGUAGAGAUCUGAGGAAUACCGGCGGCGAAGGCGGCCCCGGACGAAGACCGACGCUCAGGUGCGAAAGCGUGGGAGCAAACAGGAUUAGAUACCCCGGUAGUCCACGCCGUAAAACGUGAUGUCGACUUUGCGUCGAGUCUUGGAGGCGUGGCUUCCGGAGCUAACGUAACGCGUUAAGUCAGAUCGCCCGGGGGAGCAAUGCAAUGCAAGCGUUAAAACUCAAAAUGAAUUGACGGGGCCCACACAAGCGGUGUGGAGCAUGUGGUUUAAUUCGAUGCAACGCGAAGAACCUUACCUGGUCUUGACAUCCACAGAACUUUCCAGAGAUGGAUUGGUGCCUUCGGGAACUGUGAGACAGGUGCUGCAUGGCUGUCGUCAGCUCGUGUUGUGAAAUGUUAAGUUGCUUCCGCAACGAGCGCAACCUUAUCCCUUUGUUGCCAGCGGUCCGGCCGGGAACUCAAAGGGAGACCGCCGCGAUAAACUGGAGGAAGGUGGGGAUGACGUCAAGUCAUCAUGGCCCCUACGACCGUGGCUACACGUGCUACAAUGGCGCAUGCACAAAGAGAAGCGACCUCGCGCGAGCAAGCGGACCUCAUAAAGUGCGUCGUAGUCCGGAUUGGAGUCUGCAACUCGACUCCAUGAAGUCGGAAUCGCUAGUAAUCGUGGAUCAGAAUGCCACGGUGAAUACGUUCCCGGGCCUUGUACACACCGCCCGUCACACCAUGGGAGUGGGUUGCAAAAGAAGUAGGUAGCUUAACCUUCGGGAGGGCGCUUACCACUUUGUGAUUCAUGACUGGGGUGAAGUCGUAACAAGGUAACCGUAGGGGAACCUGCGGUUGGAUCACCUCCUUACCUUAAAGAAGC
rnacentral:rRNA from 1 species